CAAGGCAUUUUACAUGCAAAGUAAAAUCAAAUUAAAACUAAAUCAACAAAAGCUAAAAGUGGAGAAGUGGCAAAAGGGGGCAGGGGGCACUCACCUUCUGUCUUCUUUUCUUCUUCUUCUUCUUUCCAUUUUUCUUUUCUAUAUUUCUU
rnacentral:ribozyme from 1 species